UGGCUGUCUUUUCCUUCUCACAACAGCUGAACAGAUGGGUAAGGAUGGCAGGGGUUAUGUCCCAGCUACCAUCAAGAUGACCGUGGAAAGGGACCAACCACUUCCUACCCCAGAGCUCCAGAUGCCUACCAUGGUGCCUUCUUAUGACCUUGGAAUGGCCCCUGAUUCCUCCAUGAGCAUGCAGCUUGGCCCAGAUAUGGUGUAAGGAGCUGGAAAGACAGGAAUGGGAGUGGUCUGUGCAGAUGGGC
rnacentral:lncRNA from 1 species